rnacentral:rRNA from 1 species
CAUUGGGACUGAGAUACGGCCCAAACUCCUACGGGAGGCAGCAGUGGGAAUAUUGCACAAUGGGCGGAAGCCUGAUGCAGCAACGCCGCGUGCGGGAUGACGGCCUUCGGGUUGUAAACCGCUUUCAGCAGGGACGAAGCGCAAGUGACGGUACCUGCAGAAGAAGCACCGGCUAACUACGUGCCAGCAGCCGCGGUGAUACGUAGGGUGCGAGCGUUGUCCGGAUUUAUUGGGCGUAAAGAGCUUGUAGGCGGUUGGUUGCGUCGAAAGUGCAAACUCAGGGCUUAACUCUGAGCCUGCUUUCGAUACGGGCUGACUGGAGGAAGGUAGGGGAGAAUGGAAUUCCCGGUGGAGCGGUGGAAUGCGCAGAUAUCGGGAGGAACACCAGUGGCGAAGGCGGUUCUCUGGACCUUUCCUGACGCUGAGAAGCGAAAGCGUGGGGAGCAAACAGGCUUAGAUACCCUGGUAGUCCACGCUGUAAACGGUGGGUACUAGGUGUGGGGGACAUUCCACGUUCUCUGUGCCGUAGCUAACG